GGCGGACGGGUGAGUAACGCGUAGGAAUCUACCUAAUAGUGGGGGAUAGCCCAGGGAAACUUGGAUUAAUACCGCAUACGCCCUACGGGGGAAAGCGGGGGAUCUUCGGACCUCGUGCUAUUAGAUGAGCCUGCGUAAGAUUAGCUAGUUGGUGAGGUAAAGGCUCACCAAGGCGACGAUCUUUAGCUGGUCUGAGAGGAUGAUCAGCCACACUGGGACUGAGACACGGCCCAGACUCCUACGGGAGGCAGCAGUGGGGAAUAUUGGACAAUGGGGGCAACCCUGAUCCAGCCAUGCCGCGUGUGUGAAGAAGGCCUUCGGGUUGUAAAGCACUUUCAGAUGUGAGGAAAGGUUGUAGAUUAAUACUCUGCAGCUGUGACGUUAACAUCAGAAGAAGGACCGGCUAACUCCGUGCCAGCAGCCGCGGUAAUACGGAGGGUCCGAGCGUUAAUCGGAAUUACUGGGCGUAAAGCGCGCGUAGGUGGUUUCGUCAGUCAGAUGUGAAAGCCCCGGGCUCAACCUGGGAACUGCACCUGAUACUGCGAGACUAGAGUACGAUAGAGGGGAGUGGAAUUUCCGGUGUAGCGGUGAAAUGCGUAGAGAUCGGAAGGAACACCAGUGGCGAAGGCGACUCCCUGGAUUGAUACUGACACUGAGGUGCGAAAGCGUGGG
rnacentral:rRNA from 1 species